rnacentral:rRNA from 1 species
GCAGUCGAGCGGACAGAAGGGAGCUUGCUCCCGGAUGUUAGCGGCGGACGGGUGAGUAACACGUGGGUAACCUGCCUGUAAGACUGGGAUAACUCCGGGAAACCGGAGCUAAUACCGGAUAGUUCCUUGAACCGCAUGGUUCAAGGAUGAAAGACGGUUUCGGCUGUCACUUACAGAUGGACCCGCGGCGCAUUAGCUAGUUGGUGAGGUAACGGCUCACCAAGGCGACGAUGCGUAGCCGACCUGAGAGGGUGAUCGGCCACACUGGGACUGAGACACGGCCCAGACUCCUACGGGAGGCAGCAGUAGGGAAUCUUCCGCAAUGGACGAAAGUCUGACGGAGCAACGCCGCGUGAGUGAUGAAGGUUUUCGGAUCGUAAAGCUCUGUUGUUAGGGAAGAACAAGUGCAAGAGUAACUGCUUGCACCUUGACGGUACCUAACCAGAAAGCCACGGCUAACUACGUGCCAGCAGCCGCGGUAAUACGUAGGUGGCAAGCGUUGUCCGGAAUUAUUGGGCGUAAAGGGCUCGCAGGCGGUUUCUUAAGUCUGAUGUGAAAGCCCCCGGCUCAACCGGGGAGGGUCAUUGGAAACUGGGAAACUUGAGUGCAGAAGAGGAGAGUGGAAUUCCACGUGUAGCGGUGAAAUGCGUA